rnacentral:rRNA from 1 species
GACGAACCGUCCAAACGUUGUUCGGAAUCACUGGGCUUAAAGGGCGCGUAGGCGGUCAGCCAAGUCCGGGGUGAAAUCUUUCGGCCCAACCGGAAAAUUGCCUUGGAUACUGGCUGACUAGAGGGAGGUAGGGGCAUGUGGAACUUCCGGUGGAGCGGUGAAAUGUGUUGAUAUCGGAAGGAACACCGGUGGCGAAAGCGACGUGCUGGACCUCUUCUGACGCUGAGGCGCGAAAGCUAGGGGAGCAAACGGG